GUGAUGUGAUUUCACAUGUGAUAAAAGACAACAACAACAAUGCAAACUUUUACAUGUGAAAAUCUAUGGUGAAAAUCAACAUUUCCUAUGUGAACUGACACAUCUCACUGAUUGAUUUCACAUGUAAACUCAAGAGCUUUUCCUUCCAUGUAAACUAAGACAUUUCACAUGUAACAUGAUUAAGCAUGCUGUAAAAGACAUGUUUCAAGUGUCAAGAGGAAUUUUGAUGUUUGGAUCGAAAGGUACUCUUUGUAAAAUGUUCUCUUCCCGGACAUUUUGUUAACGCCACCUAAGUGUACUGAGUAUAUUAAUAUAAGUAUUGAGCCACGGAGCUCGCGCUUCCCGCCCAUACACUCUAGGUUCCCCAUGCUGCCUUCGGGACCUCACGGAAAUAUUACAAUUAUCGAGUGUAAUACAUAAAUGAUCAUAAACGUGAACAACAACGGUCUCAAAAACACAUAUAUUACUAUGAUAUGUGAGAUGUCGCAUUUAUAGGCUGUAAAUAACGUAUCCCAUGUCCGUUUCUGAUGUUCACUAUGGAGCAAUAUGGUAGGUUUGUUUUUGUAAUACCGUUUAUAUAUUCCGUAGUUUAUUAUUUGAUCCAUUACAUGUCUGGCCUAUUUUUUUUCAUUUCAUUAAUUCAUUUAAUUUAAUCCGUAUUAAGUUAGUAAAAUCUGCACCAAAAAAUUACUUUACAUAGGUCUGUUAUCCUCUGUAAGUAAACGUGAGACAAGCUUUUGAUGAAGACAAAUCUUGGAUGGUGCACUUGAAUGCAUCGUCAUCUUUGACCGUUGGGAGCAGAUUAACGUCACAGACGGAGACAGAGAAAUGGAUCGGGAUGCGGUGAUUUAUCGGGUCGACGACGACCAAAUUAGUGUAUUUAAAGACAAAUAAAAGAAGAAAAUACUGAAUGAAACUGACAUGAUCGGGCUGGUGGAGUACGGCUCAGCUGGUAAGCCGACAAGGGGAGGAUGGCGAAAAUACUCAGAAACUAAGACUCUGCUCACAUAAAAACAUUGGAGAGGAGGUGGCUGGAGCAGCUCAAGUGUAAGGGCGCUUUCCAGGCACUGCAGAGGCAGACAUAAAGGCUCAGAAGCUUAAAGACCUGAGGGUUAAAAGCUGGAGUCAGAGGAAAUCACAGGAACGUAAAUUGUCGUCGUCAAAGAAACAAAAACAUGAAGAAGCUAAACGAAAUUGGUACAAGGGACAGCAUAAAAUGAGGAUAAACCCAGAUGGAAAUCCCUGAUGAGAGAAAUGUUUGCAGACUGAUGCCGAAGUUUCCUAUUUUCUGCUGGACAGGCAGUAAAGAUAAAAGGACAGUCCAUUCACCUCAACUGGCGGAAAGACAUCAACUUUUUUUGGUGAUGUUGUAAGACAGCAAACACAACCAAGCAGUUUCUGGCAAGUACACAACAUAUAUAUAAAUAUGAUUUCUAAUCGCAAGUUCAUUCAUUUCUAUGUGAUGGGACUUUUUAUAGUGCUGUUUUAUUUUUCUUAGGCACUAUGGCAGUGUUGUCAAACUCAUUUUAGCUUAGGAGCCACAUGGAAGAAAAUUUAUUCCCAAGUGGGCCGGACUGGUAAAAUCAUGAACUUCAGAUUGCUUUCUUUGUUUUACUUUGGUCCAAAAUAGAACAAGCACAUUCUGAAAAUGUGACAAAACAUUUAGUUAAAAAUUCUGAGGAAAAAAAACGGCGCAAUUUUAAGAACACAGUGCCUCAGUGAUUGGAACUUAGAUUUUGUCUCAGUGUAUUUACAAAGCUAUUCAACUUUAAGUCACAGCCUAUCUGGGAUUGAAUGAAAUACAAAUAAAUAUAAGUGCUUGUGCAUGAGCCUUGAGCGCAGCUUUGUUUUAUUGAUGCUCAUUGCAGAGAAAACUUGCUCACAAAGAUAUGUGGUUCCAAACAUUUUUGCAGCAAGGGCUGUCAAGUUGGGGUAACCUGGCAAUAGAUACCAAUAAAAUGUGUCCAAGCCAGCUGCGGCAAAUUUGCCCUUCAAAUCUGAGUCACACUGCAUGUCUAUUAUUUCAAGUUGGAUGUUGACAGGCAGAUCAGAGGCAUUCACAGUGAAUGCAAGCAAAAAACUGUGCAGUCUUUCUCCAGUUCACCAAAAAUCUGAAAGCGUUGCUCAAACUCCCGCAAUAGUCCCGUAAUUUUAUCUUUGAACCGCUUCAUGUCCACAGCAUGUUGGGUCGCGCACACAUCUUUCAGACAAGGAAAGUGAGCUGCAUCACCACCUGCCAGUUGCGUCUCCCACAAUGACAGCUUCAACUUGAACGCACAUAUGCUGUCAUAAUACUGCGUGACAACUUUGUUGUGGCCUUGCAGUAUUUUUGUUCAAGUUAUUCAAGUGCUCUGUAACAUCCACCAUAAAUGCAAGGUCCUGCAUCCAUUCUGUGGACUGAAAUUCUAACACUGGUUUGCCCUUUUUUUCCAUGAACUGUUCAAUUUCCUCUCAUAAAUCAAAGAAACACCUCAGUACAGCACCUCGGCUUAACCAUCUUACCUUGGUGUGGUACGGCAGGCCAUAGUUGUGGUCUUUCUCUCUGACAAGGCUAACUGACGGGCAAACUGACGGGGAUUCAGGCCUCUGGAUUGGAUGAAAUUAACAGUUUGGAUGGCCACCUUCAUGACAUUAUCCAUCUUUAAUGACUUGCAACACAAAGCCUCCUGAUGCAGAAUACAGUGAAAAGUCCAAAAAUCGCGUCCUCCAUUUGCAGUCUACACUGUCUCUCUGAACAUUGUCACAUCACCUACUUUUUUCCCGAUCAUUGAGGGCGCACCAUCUGUAGCCAGGCUGACGGUUUGGGACCAGUCCAUUCCGACCCUGUCCAGUGCACCGACGAGUGCAGUGAAAAUAUCAGCUACUGUUGUAGUAUCCGUCAUUGACACCAACUCCACGAACUCGGUGACAGUCAACGUGUCAUCAACUCCGCGGAUGAAUAUGGCCAGUUGCGCAACAUCUGUAAUGUCUGUGCUUUCAUCAACUGCAACUGAAAAGGCAAUAAAUGACUUUGCGCUUCAAUUGACUAUCCAAAUUCGCCGAAAGAUCAAAAAUCCUGUCUGCAACUGUGUUUCUUGUCAGGCUGAUAUUUGCAAAAGCCUAGCGCUUUUCAGGGCACACAAUCUCCGCAGCCUUCAGCAUGCAUGUUUUCACAAAUCCACCCUCACUAAAUGGUUUUGAAGCCACUGCUAUUUCAUUAGCAAUAAGGUAGCUAGCUUUCACUGCAGCGUCACUGAUUUCUCGGCUAUGAGUAAACACAGACUGCUGUUUCUUCAGACCCUCCAACAAUUCAUUCACCUUCUCUCUUCUCAGUUGUCCUUGAAAGUUGUUGUAUUUGACAGCAUGAAGAGUCUCAUUGUGGCGACGAAGGUUAUAUUCUUUCAGCACUGAAACAUGCUGUGAACACACCAAACACACAGUUUUCCCAUUCACUUCCGUGAAUAAAUAAGAGGAUGUCCACUUUUCAUGGAACACUCUGCAUUCUGCGUCCACUUUUCUCUUUUUUGACAGAGACAUUUUGGGGCAAUGAGGGUGCCAAAGCACAUAAUGUUCAAAGUAGAAGACAUAGUAGGGCAGGCAGCACGACAAGGUAGCUCCGGACUAGCUGUACUUCCUUGGCCUACUUGCUCAGCCCUGGUAUAAACAGUUUGCUUGCUUAACAGAAUUGCUAUUGCGACAUCCAGUGGACACAUUUAGAACAGCAGUUUCUUUCAUUGAAAAAUUUCAGCUCAUUUUUAUACUUUGCAAAAUCAUCUCUAACGAGCCGGAUUAAACCUGAUCUGGCCCGCGGGCCAUACGUUUGACAUCCCUGCACUAUGGGUUGGCAUUAUUCACCAUGUCUGUGACAUUCGCACCCGUCAUAUCAGAAGUAUUGCAGACACAAGUCAGGAGAGGUCUAGGUAAGUCAUACACAUCUGUUUGCCUAUGUAGCAUAUUAACUUACCCUGUAAGUCCUACUCCUGGUUAAACAGCACUAUUUUCACAUGUACAACUAAAAUGUAUGAAAUAGUAAAUUAACUCUAUGUGUAAUGGUACUGUCUUCCACAGAAGCAGUUUUCCCUGCAGCUGCUGCUCUACACACAGCUCCUGGAGCAGAUGAGGAACAGCAGUGCCAGUGAAUCAUGGGUGUUGUUCCUGCCCUGAGAGCAUCUUCAUCCAGAGCAGUAUAUUGAAUACCUUUGGUGUGGCUUUGGUCUGACCCUUUUCAGCUAUUAUAUGUGCAGCAAUUUGACCGCUGGAAGGUGAUCAGAUAAGUUUAAUCACACUGCUUUUAGUGUUCAAACAGACUAAUGAUUUGAUAGAUUAUUCUGUCUUUAUCAGAAUCAACUCUG